rnacentral:other from 1 species
GCUUUUCUGGAACGUUGGUGACUGCCAAUAAUGUUUUUUGAUCUAUGUUUUUUCUUUAUAAGGGAGCCAAGCGGUCUCGUGGCAGUAAACUGAGCUUGCACUCAGAAACUUUAAGCGAUUCACAGCGCACCCACCUGGUCUAACCAGGUCUAAAGCUGAGGUAAGACGGCGUUCUGGGGCCUAC